UACGGGUGGCAGCAGUGGGGAAUAUUGCACAAUGGGCGCAAGCCUGAUGCGGCCAUGCCGCGUGUGUGAAGAAGGCCUUCGGGUUGUAAAGCACUUUCAGCGGGGAGGAAGGCGGUGAGGUUAAUAACCUCAUCGAUUGACGUUACCCGCAGAAGAAGCACCGGCUAACUCCGUGCCAGCAGCCGCGGUAAUACGGAGGGUGCAAGCGUUAAUCGGAAUUACUGGGCGUAAAGCGCACGCAGGCGGUCUGUCAAGUCGGAUGUGAAAUCCCCGGGCUCAACCUGGGAACUGCAUUCGAAACUGGCAGGCUAGAGUCUUGUAGAGGGGGGUAGAAUUCCAGGUGUAGCGGUGAAAUGCGUAGAGAUCUGGAGGGAUACCGGUGGCGAAGGCGGCCCCCUGGACAAAGACUGACGCUCAGGUGCGAAAGCGUGGGGAGCAAACAGGAUUAGAUACCCCAGUAGUC
rnacentral:rRNA from 1 species